rnacentral:rRNA from 1 species
UACGAAGGGGGCUAGCGUUGUUCGGAAUUACUGGGCGUAAAGCGCACGUAGGCGGUCUUUUAAGUCGGGGGUGAAAUCCUGGAGCUCAACUCCAGAACUGCCUUUGAUACUGAGGAUCUUGAGUUCGGGAGAGGUGAGUGGAACUGCGAGUGUAGAGGUGAAAUUCGUAGAUAUUCGCAAGAACACCAGUGGCGAAGGCGGCUCACUGGCCCGAUACUGACGCUGAGGCACGAAAGCGUGGGGAGCAAACAGGGAU